AUGGACCUCAUCCCAAAUUUGGCGGUGGAAACCUGGCUUCUCCUGGCUGUCAGCCUUGUGCUCCUCUAUCUAUAUGGAGCCCAUUCACAUGGACUUUUUAAGAAGCUUGGCAUUCCAGGGCCCACACCUCUGCUUUUUUUGGGAACUACUUUGUCCUACCAUCAGAUCCCGCUGAAAUUACGCUUAGGAGGACUUCUUCAACCAGAAAAACCCAUUGUUCUAAAGGUUGAGUCAAGGGAUGGGACCGUAAGUGGAA
rnacentral:lncRNA from 1 species